rnacentral:rRNA from 1 species
ACGCUGGCGGUUGCUUUCACAUGCAAGUCGAACGGAUUAUGGAGCUUGCUUCAUAGUUAGUGGCGAACGGGUGAGUAAUAUAUCGGAACAUAUCCGGAAGUGGGGGAUAACGUAGCGAAAGUUACGCUAAUACCGCAUAUGCCCUGAGGGGGAAAGGAGGGGAUCGCAAGACCUUUCGCUUUCGGAGUGGCCGAUAUCGGAUUAGCUAGUAGGUGAGGUAAAGGCUCACCUAGGCGACGAUCCGUAGCGGGUCUGAGAGGACGACCCGCCACACUGGAACUGAGACACGGUCCAGACUCCUACGGGAGGCAGCAGUGGGGAAUUUUGGACAAUGGGCGCAAGCCUGAUCCAGCCAUACCGCGUGAGUGAAGAAGGCCUUCGGGUUGUAAAGCUCUUUCAGCCGGAAAGAAAUCGCAUUUAUUAAUACUAAAUGUGGAUGACGGUACCGGAAGAAGAAGCACCGGCUAACUACGUGCCAGCAGCCGCGGUAAUACGUAGGGUGCGAGCGUUAAUCGGAAUUACUGGGCGUAAAGCGUGCGCAGGCGGUUUCGUAAGACAGUUGUGAAAUCCCCGGGCUCAACCUGGGAACUGCAUUUGUGACUGCGAGACUAGAGUGUAGCAGAGGGGGGUAGAAUUCCACGUGUAGCAGUGAAUGCGUAGAGAUGUGGAGGAAUACCAAUGGCGAAGGCAGCCC